GACAGCUUUAGCUUCUCUGCUCUUGCCCGCCCCUUUCUCUUGGGCCCCCGAGUCCAAGAUCUCGUAACCGAGUAGAAGACGGCCGGCAAGAAGGGAGCUAGCAAGGGUAAAGCUGAAGGGACUGCAUCCUCAGACUCGGAAUGGAGGAAAAGUGAGGUGGAGAAGAGGCCAGCCAAGGAGACUGAGACCGGUUCUGGUGGGCAACCGCCAUCUCCCAAGAGGAGGAGUUCCAGUCGGCUGGGCGUCGUUGGUGGUGACAAGAGACAGUCGAGUAAAUAAGCUCUCUUUCGGAUUGCAUCCUUAGGCCUGCCACUUCGGCGAAUGUGACGAUUGCUGCUUCCGGCGCAGGUCAAGGCACGACUACUGCCUCGGGGAUGUUGAUCCCCAGUGCCAUUCCUCGACUCAGACCAGCCUGAUCAAAGGGGUGCUUCGUCGGGUGACGUUCACCCGACCCGGCUCAGGGGCCGUUGGUGUCGGAUGAUGACUUCGACAGGAUGAAGAAGCUCUUCCACCGCGUCUAUUCAUUCACUCUUGGCCUUGUCCAAGCGUCAAAUAAGAAGCACUCGGCGCUUCAGUCUUUCAAGGCUGUAUCCGCUGAGGAAUAUGAUAGAGUAGUCCUGGAGUUGAAGGAGACGCAGGGUCAUCACCAGGAUGACUUGAAAAAGAUUCAAGAACGACACCUUGCGGAGCUGCAAUCACUCCGGGACACCAAGAGCAAGCUUCUGAAGGAGCAGCAAGAUAUGUUCUUGUUUUUCCACGGCUUCUUCUUGUCAAAAGCUUGCCCUUAUUGUGAAGCAGUUGUAUGAUUUUAGCUCGGUCUCGACACAGAGCUCAAGCUGUUGCUUGAAGCCAAGGAAAAUUACCUUCUUGACCUGGAACUUGACGUGUAUCAAUACAGAGACGCCACCGAGGUACUCGAGAAGAAACUGAAGGCUGCUGAUCUUCAGAUGGUUGAGUCCAUGAAGAAGAUUCAGGAGUUAUCAGCUAAAGUCGAGGGCCUCGAGAAAAUCAGUGAUACGGCUGCGGGUCUCAUUGACUUGGUGGACCCCGUUGGCGAGGAUGUGGUGGAGAAGCCAUCUUUUUUGCAACGUCUGCAGGAGGCUCCCCAAAAGUUCUUGUCAUAUGUGUCGGAGACCACAAAGUCGUACGUCUCGACUGCAUUGGGAUGGCUGAGUCCUGGUAUGGUGACGUUGACUUGUAGCUGCUCGCCGGCGGAAUGGCAGCUGAUUGCCCCGAUGAGCGUUUCGAGGAAUACUUGAAGGAAGCAUAGCCAAUUGCCGAGAAGAUUGUAGAUGAUAUUGAACAGCAAGAGUAGUUUUUGUAUUGUGUUGGGUACCUUGUACUUUGAACUAUCAUGAAGCUUUUGUACUUUGUCCCCAAAGUUUGCUGGUUUACUUCUCUUUU